UUGCACCGAUCCUUUUCCAAAAGAUUUUUCUCCGAGAAUUACAGCGCGUUUAUGGUCCUGCAAAGCACCUGCCAAAAUUUCUGAAGCGGAAGCUGAACCGUCGUUGAUAAUAACGACAAUAGGCAGUCCUUGAGCUAUAUCUCCGGCGGUUGCGCUGUAUUUUAAAGUGUCUUCUUCAUUGCGGGAACGUGUUGAAACAAUCUCGCCUCUAUCAAGAAAUAAAUCCGAAAUGGCAACGGCCUGAUCAAGCAAUCCUCCCGGAUUGUUACGA
rnacentral:ncRNA from 1 species